rnacentral:lncRNA from 1 species
AUGACUGCUGACAGAAGCCUGUUUUGCCUCUUCCCUCUAGCUUCAGCUUCAGGGGGUGUCAACACAAGGCUGCAAUGCUGUAACACACUCUUAAAUGAGUUUAUAGACAUGUCACUUUCAGCAAAUCACUGCUGGGUUUUAGGUGAAGUUCUCGCCUCCAGCCAUAGCCAGUUAUUUUAUUUAAGGGGAGGAGCUGCUUCAUGUUCCAGUUCCCCUCCAGCACCAGCCCAUCUGCAAUCCAAAAGCUGCUUUCCGGCACAUGCCCUGCAACUUGCCGGAUCUGAAGCCCUCCCCAGCACAGAAGCACCAGACCUGCCUGCAUAUCUUAUAAACUCUCCCAGUUUGGCCCCACAAUCGUUCUGUUCUAUCUACUCCAGUGCCUUGUGAACAGUUUUUUGCCUUCUUGUCUUAGGUAAGCACAUCACUAGAUCAUUUUUGUGCAAACUCCUGCAGAUAUGCAAUGGUUGGAGAACGUGAUAUAAAGAACAGCUAAAUUAAAGUGGGACAAGGUGGUCCCUUUUUCCUGAUGUUACUUAACAGUUCAAUAUCCCACCCUGCUACAGAGGUUUCCUCUGCAAGGCCUCAAAACAAUAAUUUUGACUUAGAAAAGUCUGGGAUGUAGCAUUUGGUUAAGACAGAGCGCCUUCUCUUGCCAUUUCUGCCACAGCCUCACCUUGUGACCUCUGGAAAGAAUUAACUUUUUCUUGUUCUCAUGUUCAUUUGCUUUACACACACUUUCCCAGAAAGAUGGCAGAAAAGUGGGGUAGCAGUAGAGGAUGCUUUCUUUUCGUAGGGCAUAUUUAGCAUGAACCUUGGGGCAGUGAGGGUAGAUCCUCCUCCUCACACUUAUUUCAGAAGCCAAUAUCUGACAGACCAAAGCUGUAUUUAACAUGCAUUUUCCUCUGCUCUAACAAAACAAUUUUGAAGCCAUCUACCACUUGCUACCAGUGCUGUUCAGCUGAGUCACUUUUAUUACCAUCCUAAAGGGUAGGUGGAAGAUCACAUGGCUCUUUACAGCCUCAGCAAAAGAAAUUUUAUCACAAGCUGCUGUUGCUCCCCUCCCCUCUGUUCAGCAUACAUGCUAGCAAUGAUAUCUGAUUAUUAUAGAUUCACAAUUUGUUUCUGGAAAGGAGCUAUUUUAUAAUCUUGACAGAUACAUUGCAUUUCCAUGAAGAGGGUGGAUGUAUAGGAUAAAAAACCUUUCAACACUGGUCUUCUAAAGUUGCUGAUUUUAACUGGAGGUCCCUUACCUGCAGCUGCUUUCAGAGGCACCAGCAAGAAGGAAGACCUCCAUCCCUGACACUGCACAUGCUCUUCUUCAGCAGCAUCUGCUGGGCAGGCAGUGAGACAGGUCCACAACUUCCACACCUCAAGCCUGCCUGGAGAG